GACAGAAUAGCUCAGUUGGAUUACCCUCUCGACAUAUCUCACGUAAUGAGAGGGUCUCUGGUUCGAUCCCGGGGUCUGUCA